GACUGGGCCUCAUAUCGUGGCUAGUGGGCCUUACUUACCAUCCUGCAGGUGGCCAUCCUUUUGCCAUCCCCUGGCCUUUAUGACCUAAUGGCCGGAUGGACCUACCUAGCGGGUCCUCCGCCCAAAAUUUGGGUGCGUUUGCUAACCGGGAAUUAGUGGUGGGAGUUGGCAGAAGGAAUUCAUUUGAAAAUAUAAUUUUUAGUCCUAUUUCCUUAUUUGUCUUUCGUAGGGAAUUAAAAGUGGGAGUUUAUGUGAGGCUUGGUAUCCUUUGUUUGGUACGAGGGUUUAGAGGUGGGAAAUUAUAUUCAAGUCAUGAUUAAUAGUGUAGAUGCAUCUAUCUUCCACUUAAAAUAAAUUCCCACCGAAUUUCCACCCCCACCUGGAAGUGAUUGGUGGGAGUUGCUCCUCUAAACUCCAAUUCCUCAUCUCAUUAAAACUUCUAUGCCCACUAAACAAACAAUAGAAUUUCCC
rnacentral:lncRNA from 1 species